rnacentral:rRNA from 1 species
GUGAAAUUGUUGAAAGGGAAGCGCUUGCAACCAGACCUGCCUGCAGUUGCUCAUCCGUGGCUUUUGCCCGGUGCACUCUUCUGCUGUCAGGCCAGCAUCAGUUCGGGCGGUCGGAUAAAGGCUUCGGGAAUGUAGCUCCUCUCGGGGAGUGUUAUAGCCCGUUGCGAAAUGCGGCCAGCCUGGACUGAGGUCCGCGCUUCGGCUAGGAUGCUGGCGUAAUGGUUGUAAGCGGCCCGUCUUGAAACACGGACCAAGGAGUCUAACAUCUGUGCGAGUGUUUGGGUGUUAAACCCGUACGCGUAAUGAAAGUGAACGGAGGCGGGAACCCCUCGGGGUGCACCGUCGACCGAUCCUGAUGUCUUCGGAUGGAUUUGAGUAAGAGCAUAGCUGUUGGGACCCGAAAGAUGGUGAACUAUGCCUGAAUAGGGUGAAGCCAGAGGAAACUCUGGUGGAGGCUCGCAGCGGUUCUGACGUGCAAAUCGAUCGUCAAAUUUGGGCAUAGGGGCGAAAGACUAAUCGAACUAUCUAGUAGCUGGUUCCUGCCGAAGUUUCCCUCAGGAUAGCAGUAACGUUUUCAGUUUUAUGAGGUAAAGCGAAUGAUUAGAGGCCUGGGGGUUGAAACAACCUUCACCUAUUCUCAAACUUUAAAUAUGUAAGAAGUCCUUGUUGCUCAGUUGAACGUGGACAUUUGAAUGUAUCGUUACUAGUGGGCCAUUUUUGGUAAGCAGAACUGGCGAUGCGGGAUGAACCGAACGCGGAGUUAAGGUGCCGGAAUGCACGCUCAUCAGACACCACAAAAGU